rfam:Myotis brandtii contig310225, whole genome shotgun sequence.
AGCUUUGCGCAGUGGCAGUAUCGUAGCCAAUGAGGUUUAUCCGAGGCGCGAUUAUUGCUAAUUGAAAAAUAGUACACUUGUAACCAGGCUCCUUUCUCUCAUUUAGGUGAUGAAAUCGGAAUGCUGGAGGACAUGGCUGUU